rnacentral:rRNA from 1 species
UGAGCAAUCUGCCCUUCUCUUCGGAAUAAGCGUUGGAAACGACGUCUAAUGCCGAAUACGACCUCCUUUCGCAUGAUCGGAGGUGGAAAGCUCCGGCGGAGAAGGAUGAGCUCGCGGCCUAUCAGCUAGUUGGUGUGGGUAACGGCCCACCAAGGCGACGACGGGUAGCCGGCCUGAGAGGGUGACCGGCCACACUGGGACUGAGACACGGCCCAGACCUCCGUACGGGAGCAGCAGG